rnacentral:rRNA from 1 species
UACGUAGGGUGCAAGCGUUGUCCGGAAUUAUUGGGCGUAAAGGGCGUGUAGGCGGCCCGAUUAGUCCGCUGUGAAAGUCCAGGGCUCAACCCUGGAAUGCCGGUGGAUACUGUCGGGCUAGAGUCCGGAAGGGGCGAGUGGAAUUCCUGGUGUAGCGGUGAAAUGCGCAGAUAUCAGGAAGAACACCCGUGGCUAAGGCGGUUCUCUAGUACGGUACUGACGCUGAGACGCGAAAGCGUGGGGAGCGAACAGG